rnacentral:rRNA from 1 species
GAUGAACGCUGGCGGCGUGCCUAAUACAUGCAAGUCGAGCGAACGGACGAGAAGCUUGCUUCUCUGAUGUUAGCGGCGGACGGGUGAGUAACACGUGGAUAACCUACCUAUAAGACUGGGAUAACUUCGGGAAACCGGAGCUAAUACCGGAUAAUAUUUUGAACCGCAUGGUUCAAAAGUGAAAGACGGUCUUGCUGUCACUUAUAGAUGGAUCCGCGCUGCAUUAGCUAGUUGGUAAGGUAACGGCUUACCAAGGCAACGAUGCAUAGCCGACCUGAGAGGGUGAUCAGCCACACUGGAACUGAGACACGGUCCAGACUCCUACGGGAGGCAGCAGUAGGGAAUCUUCCGCAAUGGGCGAAAGCCUGACGGAGCAACGCCGCGUGAGUGAUGAAGGUCGUCGGAUCGUAAAACUCUGUUAUUAGGGAAGAACAUAUGUGUAAGUAACUGUGCACAUCUUGACGGUACCUAAUCAGAAAGCCACGGCUAACUACGUG